AGUGCAAUAGAUGCGUUUGGCUUGCAAGAAAUUCUAGAUAGGAGAGCUGAAAUUACAGAGAAAGAACAAAUGGGAUUACGAUUCGAGUCAAGGAUGAUCCGUCGUCCCCAAUUAUGGGACCAGAAAGAUGUGAUCGAUCCGUCCCCAAUUUUUGAUUUUACAAGGCAAUUGACUACAGUACAGGUCUGAGGUGCAGCAGAGAUUUCCAUGUCCAGACAUUUGCAAGAAUGGUGAUUACGAGAAUACCCAAGGCUGUCACGUUCAUUAGAAUUUCUUUGUCAUCCAUGGUUCCUAAAGAAGGCAUAAAAUUACCUAUUGCUGUACACAUCAAAGUGGUGCUGCUAAGUUUUGCCAACUGAUCCGUUUUGUCUGGCAUGUUGGUACUUAGAUCCAUGGGCAGCUUCAUUGCUAUAGCUAAUAUUGUCAGAGAAGCGGCAUUGAGAGUGAAAAAUUUGUAUGGAAACCACAGUUUAUUGUGGCGGAACCCAAGGAAGGCAUCCACAGCCAUUGCUACGGAACAGAAUAGAGAUGCUACUGCAACAUAGAUCCCGACCCAUGGCAUGGGUGCUUUGUUUUUCAUUUCUUGUAAUUCCUGCUUAAUUUCAUAGGGCACGAAAGGCGUGUUGAUGUUCUUCUUUCUGAGAAGGCUAGAGAUCGGGUUGUAGUUGUUGAUUGUGCUGAUACUGCUAUUUAUAAACCGAACUAAGUGUCGUGGAUUAACUGUUUCUACCAUUUUUCCUUGAAGCCACCCGGAAUGCAAUUGGUUUUGCAUUUUUCAAGUCAAUUAGAGUUUUUUGAUUGUGAAGGUUCUGAGAAGGAAUAUUAAAGGUAUGAACGAUUUCUGCUAUUUUUCCACAAAGCUAUUGGGAAUGUGAGCAUUUCACACUCAUGAGUCAAUGAGAGGAAGACUAAUGAAAAAUCAAAGAGGACCCCUUGUCUUUUUAAAAGUUUGUGUUGAUAGGGAGAAAAAAUACUUUUCUGAUGCUUGCCAACUUAAAAAAGAAAAAAGAAAAGAAAAAGAGUGAUCAUGGUGUCAUGGUAAUGCAUAUAGCUCACAUCAAAGUUAAAAGUAAGGGUGCUAUCUGUUGGGAAUUUUUUAAUAAAAAUCUAAUUCAAUUAUAUUAUAUUUAUGGUGAUUUAUUGUGACUAUUUUUUUCACUAUUUAAAUUGUAUUUAAGGCGGAUAUUUGUUCAACCAUAAAAUCGCAUGCGGAUAUUAGGCUGCGUACAUCUAUCAAUCCAAACUCUGCAGCCAUGAGAGUCUGGUGUAGUGAGUUAGCCUUUUUAGUUACACAUGAAUACUUCAUAUAUAAAGCCUCCACCAUCUUUCAGAGGACUAAAGUUUAUAUACUUCCCUAGCAACUUUGUAUUCUAUAUAUAUGUGUGUACAUAUCCAUUUAUCUGCUGUUAUUUCAUGUGUUUAUGAGUUAUGACCAAUGAGAAGUCUGAAUGUGCUGAAGAGAGGACAUGGCCUACAACCACUGGGUGUAUUUUGGACUUCGGAGUCGGAACUUCCAUCUCAAAGAGAGGAGCCUGCGAGCACUUGGUUUGUAUUUUGGAGUCGGUACUCCCCCCAUUACCUACACAUGGGAAGGAAGUUUGAAUUUUAGGACAGUGCACGUCUCAAUCUUAAAGGUCAAUUUCUUACCUUUAUCAAAUAUUUCUAUUUUUGUACUUCCGAAAAUAUAUAUAUAUAUAUAUAUAUAUAUAUAUAUAUAUAUAUAUAUAUAUGUCUAUUUUUGUGUUCUUUCAUUUUAGUUUGUUAUUAUUAUUUCCAUUAUUUUAUAAAUUGUGAACCUCGUUAAUUGUACCUCUGAAGUUCAAGUUCUCCUAAAAUCAUGUAUAUGAUACUCAUUCAAUUUAUAAUUGUACCUAAAUGUUACAUUCUUGUUAUUUGCACUUUUUAGGUUCAAUUAAUUUUUUGUCGUAAA